rnacentral:rRNA from 1 species
UACGGAGGAUGCAAGCGUUAUCCGGAAUGAUUGGGCGUAAAGCGUCCGCAGGUGGCUAUGUAAGUCUGCUGUUAAAGAGUGAGGCUCAACCUCAUAAGAGCAGUGGAAACUACAUGGCUAGAGUGCGUUCGGGGCAGAGGGAAUUCCUGGUGUAGCGGUGAAAUGCGUAGAUAUCAGGAAGAACACCGGUGGCGAAAGCGCUCUGCUAGGCCGCAACUGACACUGCGGGACGAAAGCUAGGGGAGCGAAUGGG